rnacentral:rRNA from 1 species
AGCAGCCGCGGUAAUUCCAGCUCCAAUAGCGUAUAUUAAAGUUGUUGCAGUUAAAAAGCUCGUAGUUGAAUUUCGGGAUCAGUACGCCGGUCGUGCCUUCGGUAUGCACUGGUGUCACUGGUUUCUCCCUUCUGAAGAACCAUCAUGCCAUUCAGUUGGUGUGGCGGGGAAUCAGGACUGUUACUUUGAAAAAUUAGAGUGUUUAAAGCAGGCUCGCGCUUGAAUACAUUAGCAUGGAAUAAUGAAAUAGGACGUUUGACCCUAUUUUGUUGGUUUCUAGGAUCGACGUAAUGAUUAAUAGGGAUAGUUGGGGGCAUUAGUAUUCAAUUGUCAGAGGUGAAAUUCUUGGAUUUAUUGAAGACUAACUACUGCGAAAGCAUUUGCCAAGGAUGUUUUCAUUAAUCAAGAACGAAAGUUAGGGGAUCGAAGACGAUCAGAUACCGUCGUAGUCUUAACCAUAAACUAUGCCGACUAGGGAUCGGAUGAUGUUAAUUUUUAAUGACUCAUUCGGUCG